UCCUCAGCUAAAAAAAAAAAAAAAAAAAUUGGAACGAUACAGAGAUUAGCAUGGCCCCUGCACAAGGAUGACACACAAAUUUGUGAAGCGUUCCAUUAAAAA